UACAGAGGUCCCAAGCGUUGUUCGGAUUCACUGGGCGUAAAGGGUGCGUAGGUGGCCAGGUAAGUCUGAUGUGAAAUCUCGGAGCUUAACUCUGAAACUGCAUUGGAUACUAUCUGGCUAGAGGGUCGGAGGGGAGACUGGAAUUCUCGGUGUAGCAGUGAAAUGCGUAGAUAUCGAGAGGAACACCAGUGGCGAAGGCGAGUCUCUGGACGACUCCUGACACUGAGGCACGAAAGCUAGGGGAGCAAACAGG
rnacentral:rRNA from 1 species